rnacentral:rRNA from 1 species
GACGAACGCUGGCGGCGUGCCUAAUACAUGCAAGUCGAACGCAGUGGGGACGGGUGAGUAACACGUGGGUAACCUCCCAUCAGAGGGGAUAAAACUUGGAAACAGGUGCUAAACCGAUAAAGGGGGAUGGGCUCGCGGCCUAUCAGCUUGUUGGUGGGGUGAUGGCCUACCAAGGCGGUGACGGGUAGCCGACCUGAGAGCAGGAUCGGCCCCACUGGGCCUGGGACACGGCCCAGACUCCUACGGGAGGCAGCAGUAGGGAAUCUUCGGCAAUGGACGAAAGUCUGACCGAGCAACGCCGCGUGAGUGAAGAUGGUUUUCGGAUCGUAAAACUCUGUUGUUAGAGAAGCGGUAUCUAACCAGAAAGCCACGGCUAACUACGUGCCAGCAGCCGCGGUAAUUC